UACAGAGGGUGCAAGCGUUGUUCGGAAUUAUUGGGCGUAAAGAGCGUGUAGGCGGCCAGACAAGUCUGCUGUGAAAACUCGAGGCUCAACCUCGAGCUGUCGGUGGAAACUGUCUGGCUAGAGUCCGGAAGAGGAGAGUGGAAUUCCUGGUGUAGCGGUGAAAUGCGCAGAUAUCAGGAAGAACACCUAUGGCGAAGGCAGCUCUCUGGGACGGUACUGACGCUGAGACGCGAAAGCGUGGGGAGCGAACAGG
rnacentral:rRNA from 1 species